UACGAAGGGGGCUAGCGUUGCUCGGAAUCACUGGGCGUAAAGCGUGCGCAGGCGGCUUUGCAAGACAGAUGUGAAAUCCCCGGGCUUAACCUGGGAACUGCAUUUGUGACUGCAUGGCUAGAGUGCGGCAGAGGGGGAUGGAAUUCCGCGUGUAGCAGUGAAAUGCGUAGAUAUGCGGAGGAACACCGAUGGCGAAGGCAAUCCCCUGGGCCUGCACUGACGCUCAUGCACGAAAGCGUGGGGAGCAAACAGG
rnacentral:rRNA from 1 species